UCCGUAGGUGAACCUGCGGAAGGAUCAUUAAAGAUUCGACCUUUUGGUCUAUCUCUCUUCAGCUGUGCGCUUAGGCUGCACGCUGUUGAACCUUUCACACCUGUGCACCAUUCGGUUGCGGUUUCGGCCGCUUCCGCUUUUACACAUACAACCACAGUCCAGAAUGUAAACACAAUAACAAAUAACAACUUUCAACAACGGAUCUCUUGGCUCUCGCAUCGAUGAAGAACGCAGCGAAAUGCGAUAAGUAAUGUGAAUUGCAGAAUUCAGUGAAUCAUCGAAUCUUUGAACGCAAAUUGCACUCUUUGGUAUUCCGAAGAGUAUGCCUGUUUGAGGGUCAGUUAAAUAAAAAUCGGUGUUGUUGCUGCUUUUUGUGGUGACGCUUCGGAUCUGGGUCGUUCUUACCUUUGGUUAAGUGACCUAAAAUUUUGCAUGAUUUUCCGAACGUGUUUAAAUUAUACGUACGUUUGUGAUGUCGAAUAUGUAUUAGAUGUGGGCAUUCUCAUGAUUUCGCGUCUAUAAUUUUUUUGUAAAUGACCUCAAAUCAGGGGUAAGGAGGUACCCGGCUGGAACUUAAGGCAUAUCAAUAAGGCGGGGAGGGGAAGGUCGGACUGGCCAA
rnacentral:rRNA from 1 species